rnacentral:lncRNA from 1 species
GUGUGUUUGGUUAUAUGGAUGAAGUGAAGUCAGUGUCAGUGAUGGAGGGAGAUUCUGUCACUUUAUACACUGAUCUUACUGAAAUACAGAAAGCUGAGCUGAUACUGUGGACAUUUGGAUCUGACAGCACUCGUAUAGCUCAAAUAAACAGAUUGAUUAAUAAGAUCUCAUAUUAUGAUGGUCCUGAUGAAAGAUUCAGAGACAGACUGAAGCUGGACAGUCAGACUGGAUCUCUGACCAUCACAAACUCCUCAGAGGAACAUGCUGGAUUAUAUGGAUUUUUGCAGAUCAUUGGUGGAAAAGAAGUCCUGCCCAAGAAAUUCAGCAUUAUUGUUUCUUCUACUCAUCUGUCUGUUCCUGUCAUCAUCAGUAACUCUUCAAAAUGUUCUACAUCAUCAUCAUCAUCAUAUUGUUCAUUGGUGUGUUCAGUGUGAACGGCCUCUUACUGAUUCAGUUUGGUUAGUGAUACAUAUUUCUCUUUCCAUUACAACAUCAGAUUCGUCCACACAUUAUAUAGAGCUGGUUUACUUUUUUGCUCUGGCUGUGGUUGCAGUUUUCUGUUGUAUUUUCUAUUACUAUCACCAAAGGACAUCUAAACAAGAGGCUAAUCAAGGCCAACCUGAUGGAGAAGAACACAUCUGGCUGACUAAUGCAGGUGCAGAAACGCCUGAUCAGGAGAAACAUUCAAAAAACAUGAUCACUUAUGACAAAGGAACACUUUUGAACAUUGGACACCGAUUGGACUUUAUCUUGCAACCCAACAUGGCCAUCUGA